CACGUAGGGGGCAAGCGUUGUCCGGAUUUAUUGGGCGUAAAGGGCUCGUAGGCGGUUCGACAAGUCGGGUGUGAAACCUCCAGGCUCAACCUGGAGUCGCCACUCGAAACUGUUGUGACUUGAGUCCGGUAGGGGAGCAUGGAAUUCCUGGUGUAGCGGUGGAAUGCGCAGAUAUCAGGAGGAACACCAGUGGCGAAGGCGAUGCUCUGGGCCGGUACUGACGCUGAGGAGCGAAAGCGUGGGGAGCGAACAGG
rnacentral:rRNA from 1 species